CUGAAACAAAAGCGUUAUGGAAGAGUUACAUAUAUAAAACGAUCUUU
rnacentral:sRNA from 1 species